rnacentral:rRNA from 1 species
AUACGGAGGGGGCUAGCGUUGUUCGGAAUUACUGGGCGUAAAGCGCGCGUAGGCGGGCUGGUCAGUUGGGGGUGAAAUCCCGAGGCUUAACCUCGGAACUGCCCUCAAUACUGCCAGUCUUGAGUUCGAGAGAGGUGAGUGGAAUUCCUAGUGUAGAGGUGAAAUUCGUAGAUAUUAGGAAGAACACCAGUGGCGAAGGCGGCUCACUGGCUCGAUACUGACGCUGAGGCGCGAAAGCGUGGGGAGCAAACAGGAUUAGAUACCCCGGUAGUCC